UUGCUGGGACAAGUGACUGAACGUAUCCGUUCUGUGUCCCAUUUAAUCAGAGCGCUCCGGCAAAUCCACGACACCAGAGGACCAAAGGCAGAUCAUGAUCUAACCUGCUCUCUGUCCCGGGAAGGCCCCUUUGGCCUUGAACUUUGCAGGCAGGAAGAAAGGUCCUCUGCUGCUUCCCCACAGUAUCACCCACCUGAUUGGAGCUGGGGCCCAGGCAUCAGAGCCCUGCAGUCAGGUCAGACAGUGGCAGAGAUCAUCAGGGCGCCCUGCGAAACACCCCAGCACUACGGGAGGCCAAGACCUUCCCGUGAGUCUGGGCGUGCCUCGGCGGUGCCCACCGGCGUCCCCAGCACCCCGUAUGGGGACAUGGUUGUUGACUGACUGAAUGGCUCUUCACAGCAGCCCCGCGACGUGGAGGCUUUUAUCUACCCCAUUUCACACAGUAGGAAACUGAGGCUCAAACACAUGGGGCCCUCCCCGCCCCCCUCACCACUUGUGGGUGCUACAAGGAUGUCUGAGGAUCACGUGCGUGCCCUGGAAUUCUGUGGGAGGAAUGCUGCGGUCUCAGGCAGUUCCACAAACGGAGGAUCCUCCGGGCUGACCCCUGCCACCCGCUCCGGAGUUCCCGGGAGCUUGCGCUCCGGUUCCGCCCAUCGGACGCCCGCAGCCAAUGGCCGCGCCGCCUGAUGAGGAGCGGAAAGGACAAAAGACACCCCCAUGCCCCCAGCAGUCAAGGACACUUGCGCAUGUAUGGAACGCCCACUGUAUGCCAGCCCCCAGACCCACUGGGGAUGCAGCGGUGGC